rnacentral:rRNA from 1 species
UGGGGAAUAUUGCACAAUGGGGGAAACCCUGAUGCAGCCAUGCCGCGUGUGUGAAGAAGGCCUUAGGGUUGUAAAGCACUUUCAGUUGUGAGGAAAAGUUAGUAGUUAAUACCUGCUAGCCGUGACGUUAACAACAGAAGAAGCACCGGCUAACUCCGUGCCAGCAGCCGCGGUAAUACGGAGGGUGCGAGCGUUAAUCGGAAUUACUGGGCGUAAAGCGCACGCAGGCGGUUUGUUAAGCUAGAUGUGAAAGCCCCGGGCUCAACCUGGGAUGGUCAUUUAGAACUGGCAGACUAGAGUCUUGGAGAGGGGAGUGGAAUUCCAGGUGUAGCGGUGAAAUGCGUAGAUAUCUGGAGGAACAUCAGUGGCGAAGGCGACUCCCUGGCCAAAGACUGACGCUCAUGUGCGAAAGUGUGGGUAGCGAACAGGAUUAGAUACCCUGGUAGUCCACACCGUAAACGCUGUCUACUAGCUGUUUGUGGCUUUAAGCCGUGAGUAGCGAAGCUAACGCGAUAAGUAGACCGCCUGGGGAGUACGGCCGAAGGUA